rnacentral:rRNA from 1 species
UACGUAGGGUGCAAGCGUUGUCCGGAAUUAUUGGGCGUAAAGAGCUCGUAGGCGGUGUGUCGCGUCGGCCGUGAAAACCUGCAGCUUAACUGUGGGCUUGCGGUCGAUACGGGCAUCACUGGAGUUCGGCAGGGGAGACUGGAAUUCCUGGUGUAGCGGUGAAAUGCGCAGAUAUCAGGAGGAACACCGGUGGCGAAGGCGGUUCUCUGGGCAUGUCCUGACGCUGAGGAGCGAAAGUGUGGGGAGCGAACAGG